GAUGAACGCUAGCGGGAGGCCUAACACAUGCAAGCCGAGCGGUAUUGUUUCUUCGGAAAUGCGAGAGCGGCGUACGGGUGCGUAACACGUGUGCAACCUGCCUUUAUCUGGGGGAUAGCCUUUCGAAAGGAAGAUUAAUACUCCAUAAUAUAUUGAACGGCAUCGUUUAAUAUUGAAAGCUCCGGCGGAUAGAGAUGGGCACGCGCAAGAUUAGCUAGUUGGUGAGGUAACGGCUCACCAAGGCGAUGAUCUUUAGGGGGCCUGAGAGGGUGAUCCCCCACACUGGGACUGAGACACGGACCAGACUCCUACGGGAGGCAGCAGUGAGGAAUAUUGGGCAAUGGGUGCAAGCCUGAACCAGCCAUCCCGCGUGAAGGACGACUGCCCUAUGGGUUGUAAACUUCUUUUGUAUAGGGAUAAACCUACCCUCGAGAGGGUAGCUGAAGGUACUAUACGAAUAAGCACCGGCUAACUCCGUG
rnacentral:rRNA from 1 species